AGACUAUGAUGUGUAGCCGGGCUGAGAGGUUGAACGGCCACAUUGGGACUGAGACACGGCCCAAACUCCUACGGGAGGCAGCAGUAGGGAAUUUUCGGCAAUGGAGGAAACUCUGACCGAGCAACGCCGCGUGAACGAUGAAGUAUUUCGGUACGUAAAGUUCUUUUAUUAGGGAAGAAUAAAUGAUGGAAAAAUCAUUCUGACGGUACCUAAUGAAUAAGCCCCGGCUAACUAUGUGCCAGCAGCCGCGGUAAUACAUAGGGGGCAAGCGUUAUCCGGAAUUAUUGGGCGUAAAGGGUGCGUAGGCGGUUAAAUAAGUUUAUGGUCUAAGUGCAAUGCUCAACAUUGUGAUGCUAUAAAAACUGUUUAGCUAGAGUAAGAUAGAGGCAAGUGGAAUUCCAUGUGUAGUGGUAAAAUGCGUAAAUAUAUGGAGGAACACCAGUAGCGAAGGCGGCUUGCUGGGUCUUUACUGACGCUGAGGCACGAAAGCGUGGGUAGCAAACAGGAUUAGAUACCCUGGUAGUCCACGCCGUAAACGAUGAGUACUAAACGUUGGGUAAAACCAGUGUUGAAGUUAACACAUUAAGUACUCCGCCUGAGUAGUACGUACGCAAGUAUGAAACUUAAAGGAAUUGACGGGACUCCGCACAAGCGGUGGAUCAUGUUGUUUAAUUCGAAGGUACCCGAAAAACCUCACCAGGUCUUGACAUGCUUCUGCAAAGCUGUAGAAACACAGUGGAGGUUAUCAGUUGCACAGGUGGUGCAUGGUUGUCGUCAGCUCGUGUCGUGAGAUGUUGGGUUAAGUCCCGCAACGAGCGCAACCCUUAUUGUUAGUUACCAGCACGUAAUGGUGGGGACUUUAGCAAGACUGCCAGUGAUAAAUUGGAGGAAGGUGGGGACGACGUCAAAUCAUCAUGCCCCUUAUGACCUGGGCUACAAACGUGAUACAAUGGCUGUUACAAAGGGUAGCUGAAGCGCAAGUUUUUGGCGAAUCUCAAAAAAACAGUCUCAGUUCG
rnacentral:rRNA from 1 species